rnacentral:rRNA from 1 species
GACGAACGCUGGCGGCGUGCUUAACACAUGCAAGUCGAACGGAAAGGCCCUGCUUGCAGGGUCCUCGAGUGGCGAACGGGUGAGUAACACGUGGGUGAUCUGCCCUGCACUUCGGGAUAAGCCUGGGAAACUGGGUCUAAUACCGGAGAGGAGCCAUUUUUAGUGUGAUGGUUGGAAAGUUUUUUCGGUGUAGGAUGAGCUCGCGGCCUAUCAGCUUGUUGGUGGGGUAAUGGCCUACCAAGGCGGCGACGGGUAGCCGGCCUGGGAGGGUGGACGGCCACAUUGGGACUGAGAUACGGCCCAGACUCCUACGGGAGGCAGCAGUGGGGAAUAUUGCACAAUGGGCGCAAGCCUGAUGCAGCGACGCCGCGUGGGGGAUGACGGCCUUCGGGUUGUAAACUCCUUUCGCUAGGGACGAAGCUUUUUGUGACGGUACCUAGAUAAGAAGCACCGGCUAACUACGUG